GGGGUAGUAAAGGUUUCGACAGGGGUCUUGCAGCUGGAGAAGCUAUCCGUUGCGACACGUUAAUCGCACAAUUAAACUAAACGCUGAAAAUAAUAAUCAGUUAGCAUUUGCAGCGUAAGCUGUGAAUGACGCUGCCUCAGGCAGCUUGUCCGCUCCGGGGCACUCACACUUCGGAAUCCGGGCAUCAAAGAUGUGAGAAACGACAUGCGUUAAGCUUUGCGCGUAUGGGCGUAUGAUGAAGCUACUGAAUAUGGCAGGCUGUUCGUUUCCUGCCAUAGGAGGGAACAGGCCGGAGUAAGACCGGCUAAAGAUAACGGACUAUGAUAGUAGAAGUACAGGGAAUGGGCUUUUGGACACGGGUUCGACUCCCGUCUACUCCAU
rnacentral:tmRNA from 1 species